GGUGAUGCCGAAGCUGAGGUCGGAAAUUACGAAGAUCAGCUAUCAAACUUGGAAAUCAUGUCUUAGAGAUCAAGGAGCCAAGAGAUGAGACAAGCCUGGGUUCCUAGGUGAUAGGGUGUGGCUGUGUCCCCACCCAAAUCUCGUCUUGAAUUGUAGCUCCCAUAAUCCCCACAUGUUGUGGAGGGACCCUGUGGAAGGUAAUUGAAUUAUGGAGAUUGUGCCUGCAGCCUGGCCUGUUGCCCACAGCGGUCUACCUGCCACACUGGGAAAGAUCGAGCAGAGACAGAGAAGAAAAGGAGGCUCCAUUUUUCAGGCUGCUCUCCCGCAGGCUCAUGUUUUGUGUUCAUGCCAGGCAGAGAACACAAAAUGUUCCAAUAAAUAAGUAUCAAAGGCUACACAGAAGCACUGCUGAUUUCAGCCCUGGCAGGACUCCUGUUUAAACAUACUUCCCAGAAAUCUUGGGCAGCUUGCCAUGCAUCUACUUGUUUCCAAAGUUAUUUGGGUCAGCAUUUUCCUCCACCCACCACUUAAAACUGAUUUGUUUCAUACAUUUGAAAUGUAUGAAAAGCCAGAAAUCCAGGACCCACCCUGGCCUGCUCCCUUUUUCUCACCUACUGUGUUAAGGAUAAGUCAAUUGAGCUUCACUUCUCUAAUUGAAAUCACCGUGCUGAUGGAGUCUGUCUGUGGAAAUGAAAGGUGGCUACCAUAAUCUGUUGGGAGUUGAAUUAAUCCUCUGGGAGUGAGGCUGACCUAAUUACUCAGAAAUACUGGGCUUGCUUUCAUUCUGUGGAAUACAGCCAUGAGAAAGAGGCCAGCAUGCCAUUUCCUAAUCUUUUCUUGAAUUGCCUGAAACUCACCUAACAUGAAACUGAGAAGCCUUUUCAUUUGAAAGUGGUAUUUCUUAUGUUUUUUAUCUUUUUGCUUGAAAGUAUUCUUAAACUAAAGAAAGGAGAAACAGAAAAGGUGAAGAAGCCAAGAGGCUGGAGUUUCCUUUUGAAUGGAUAUUCAUCCAUGAAGCUGUUGAUUCUGUUUUUCUGUUCCUCCAGAUGUCUACACUUUUACCUCUGCUUGCCUGAUACAACCACCACCAGUCACCUCACAGAAUAACUCACUCCUUAAGAAUCUGAUCAGGAAUCAGCCUUCCCUGAUCACAAACACUGAGUUUAGAAGUCCCUCCACAGUGUCCCCCGUAACCCUGUGCUACCUCACUGCCUCAUAGUUUAGUGCCGUUUGUGUACAUGCCUAUCUUCGUCCAUGGAUCCAGAACAACUUGUAAAAAUGACUGUACUUAUCACCUUCAGUAUUCAAUGACUAAACUAUAAUUUUAACAUAUCUGGCAGAAUGAAUCACUUGGGGAUUUCUGCCAACACUACCAAUAUAUUACUCCUAAUUUGUAAUUAUUACUUAGCAUGGAUUAUAGUACCGGCUGUUGGAGAGCCAAUGUGGCAGACCCUAAGUGGAAUAAAAUGUCAGUAGCAGUCUAGGAGCAUAUAUUUAUUGGAAUAGAUCAUUCAUUCAUUUGUUCAUUAACUAAUUUGUUCAUUAAAUAAACAUUUAUUAAG
ensembl:lncRNA CCDC26 CCDC26 long non-coding RNA